GUCUACGGCCAUACCACUGUGAAGGUGCCCAAUCUCAUCUGAUCUCGGAAGACAAUCAGAGUCGGGGCUGGUGAGAACUUGGAUAGGAGAAAUCUUCUAUGCUCUGAAAA
rnacentral:rRNA from 1 species